UAAAAACCCAACAAAAAUAAUACCUUUGUUGGCUCAAUUUCAUAAAACAAAGAAAGAGUGUAUUGAUCAGAAAGGAGAUGAGCCAGAUUUGGAAAGUAAAGAAGAAAGAGAAUCUUGGGGUCAUUUCACUCAAAGCAAGCAAGAAUAUUUAUUGUCUGGAAAGGCGAAGCCUGAUUAUACGUGAUAAAUUGGAAUAUUUUCAAGCUAAGGACGUCAGUAAAUAGUGAGUAUGGCACAACUCAAGAGAACCGCCCGGAAAUGGGUUUUUGGCAAAGGCAGGGUAAAGGCGCAUCACCCAAGCUGAGACUGCUAGACUACGCCGCUUGAUAGUACGAGCUAUAGUUAUUAUAAUGGUCUGAAAUCAGACUUCCCUUUAUGUAAUAAAGUUAGACUCGAUAGUAAUGUUGUAAGACGAUCGACCCUGGACUUGUGGGGCAAGAGUUGGAUUUUAUUAAAUUAAUAUGUAAUGCAAGUGUUGUUUUGAGCCAAAUGUUUAGUGGCGGACCAGAUCUGCGGGAUGUGGAUCUGGGGGCGUCACAAUUAUAAUUUAGAUC